GGAUCGGGGAUGGGGGCGUUGGGGACCCCCGCGUCUUCGCAAGCGGGGUUGCCAAGGGAACGCCGGCAUCGGCACGGCACCGGCGGCAGGCCCCAUAGGACCCACAUCAGGCCCUAUAACACCAGCAUCAGGCCCUAUAACCCCGGCAUCAGGCCCUAUAGGACCCGCAUCAGGCCCUAUAACACCGGACUCGUGCCCCAUAGCACCGGCAUCGUGCCCCAUGGCACUGGCACGGCACCCCAUGGCACGGCGCCCCAUGGCACGGUGCCCCAUGGCACGGCACCCCAAUGCCCGGCACCCCAUGGCCCCACUCCUGCCGGUCCCGUUUCCCCUCCUGCGGCACCGUUUCUCCCCGCCACCGGAAUCCCUUCCCGCGGCCCUGCCGCAUCGCUGCCCGCGGCACCGGCACCGCUCCCGUGGGAUCCCCCUGCCUAUGGGGUCCCCUUUCCUAUGGGGUCCCCUUUCCUAUGGGACCCCAUUUCCUAUGGGAUCCCCCCUUCUUAUGGGACCUGCUUCCUAUGGAUCCCCUUUCCUAUGGGAUCCCCCUUCCUAAGGGACCCCAUUCCUAUGGGAACCCCCUUCCUAUGGGUCCCCCUUCCUAUGGGGUUCCCCUUCCUAUGGGUCCCCAUUCCUAUGGGAUCCCCUUUCCUAUGGGAUCCCCUUCCUAUGGAUCCCCUUUCUUAUGGGGUCCCCUUUCCUAUCGGAUCCCCUUUCCUAUGGAUUCCCAUUCCUAUGGGGACCCCCUUCCUAUGGGAUCCCCUUUCCCAUGGGCCCCCACUUCCUAUAGGACCCCCUUUCCUAUGUGAUCCCCCCUUCUUAUGGAACCGCCUUCCUAUGGAUCCCAAUUCCUAUGGGAUCCCCCUUCCUAUGGGGUCCCCUUUCCCAUGGAUCCCCCUUCCUAUGGAUUCCCAUUCCUAUGGGAUCCCCUUUCCUAGGGGAUCCCCCUUCCUAUGGGACCCCAUUCCUAUAGGACCCCCUUUCCUAUGGGACCUGCUUCCUAUGGGAUCCCCAUUCCUAUGGGAUCUGCUUCCUAUGGGAUCCCCAUUCCUAUGGAUCCCCCUUCCUAUGGGAUCCCCUCCCCUAUGGGACCCCACUUCCUACGGGACCCCUUUUCUCACCGGAUCCCCUUUCCUAUAGGAUCCCUUCCCAUGGGAUCCGUUUCCCUGGGAUCCUUUCCCGUGGGAUCCCUUCCCGCAGCCCCGGCCUCGCUCCCGGUGGUGCCGGUGGGGCGGGCACGAAGCUCAG
rnacentral:lncRNA from 1 species